GACGAACGCUGGCGGCGUGCCUAAUACAUGCAAGUAGAACGCUGAAGGAGGAGCUUGCUCUUCUGGAUGAGUUGCGAACGGGUGAGUAACGCGUAGGUAACCUGCCUGGUAGCGGGGGAUAACUAUUGGAAACGAUAGCUAAUACCGCAUAACAGUAGAUGUUGCAUGACAUUUACUUAAAAGGUGCAAUUGCAUCACUACCAGAUGGACCUGCGUUGUAUUAGCUAGUUGUUGGGGUAACGGCUCACCAAGCCGACGAUACAUAGCCGACCUGCGAGGGUGAUCGGCCACACUGGGACUGAGACACGGCCCAGACUCCUACGGGAGGCAGCAGUAGGGAAUCUUCGGCAAUGGACGGAAGUCUGACCGAGCAACGCCGCGUGAGUGAAGAAGGUUUUCGGAUCGUAAAGCUCUGUUGUAAGAGAAGAACGAGUGUGAGAGUGGAAAGUUCACACUGUGACGGUAUCUUACCAGAAAGGGACGGCUAACUACGUG
rnacentral:rRNA from 1 species